AUUCACCUAAUAUUUGAGUAAGAUGUUAUAUGUUUAAAUCUUGUGAACCUCAACUUUCGUUCAAUUGUUCACUCAUUUGUUGCUUACAGUGGGUCUUCAUUGUUAUUUACCUCUUCUUUCUUGUUAGUGUAUGCUUAACUUGGCCCCUGUUUGAGUUUUUUUUUUAAUUUUGUUUUACAGGCAAGUUUGGCACGUUUCUUGCAUGUGAGAGAGUAUAUUGGAAUUCAAAUAAUAAAACUGUGUCCUGCUUGUGCGCAAUGGAGUGUGAUAGAAUAUAAUAAUAAAGUUGGAUAAUUUUCUAUAAACUUAUAAUAAUCAUCGGCUAAUUCAUUUACUUUAUUGCACUUCCAUAUUGUCCUUGGCGUUUCAGUGUAGUAUGAAUAACUAACAAGCUAUCAGUCUUUUUCAAAUAAAAAAAAAACAUAAAAGCAUCUUUUUAUUUCUUGUGCUUCCUAGUUUGAAUUAAAUGGAGAAGUUUUAUGGAGUCAUUAUUUUAGGACUUCCUAUCUUUCUAGUCUUUGUUGACUUUUUCCAUUUUCUAGGUCCAAUUUUAAUGUUAAUUUUUUUAUCACAUCGUUUUUGUAUUUUUCUUCUCAUUAACUUUUCGCCAUCUGCAUUUUCUUUUAAUUGUGUUUGUAUUGACCUCUGAGGUGGGUUUUAUUGGAGUUAUUGUGAAAGAAAGGGUACUCUUAGGUCUCAUGUGAAAUACUGCCUGGUAGUGUAUGUUUUUGAAGCUUAGUUCUUUGUAGCCUUUAUAAGAUUCUUUGCCUGCCAGAACAAGUUCCUGCGCAGUAGAUAGGAAAUUUAUGUUGAAAAACAUCGGUAACAUGUCCUGAAGAUUUCAAGCUUGUCUGCCAUGUUUCUCUAUCAAAAUUUAAAUUGUUUCUUCUACUUUACAUAUGCAUCCCCUAGAAUAUGUAUGUUUACGAUGUAUAAAGGAUUUUAGCAUGAACAAUUUUUAUUGAUGGAUUAUAUUAUGUACCCUUGUCUCAAUAUUUCACUCUCUUGAUCUUCACUUCUUGUUCUUUCUUUUUCUGGCCUUUACAAUUUAACACAUGGUUUCUUGAUGUGGAUGUAAGGAGCGGUUAAUAUAUAUGCUUACCGCUAAUGAUGUGCAGUCUAGGACACUCUUUUAACUGAAGGUGGAUGAUCUAGCACGACCUAGGAGGUGGCAAGUAAAGUGAUUAGGGAGUGUUUCACUUGACUUUGUUUUUGCUCAAAAGGAGUUCAGGGUGUUAAAGCACAUAAACCUACUGCUUGUUAACAUUUUUAAACUACUAAAA